AUAUCCAGUAGUUUUACAUCAAACUUCAACAAUAAAUUUCUACUAAAAUAAAGACCAAAAUUUUGCUUUUAAUCACUCUCCAAAAAUAUCCUCGUGCCAUCUUAGUUCCUAGGAUUUGUAAAACUAGUAAGAUGUCGAAUAAUAAGCUACACAACCUAGCAAGCAAUGAAUACUUAAAUUGGAUAAAUUAAGUAAUAAAAUAAAUAAUAUUUUAAUAAAAAUAAGCAUGUGGAAUAAAUCAAAUCAAAACUAAAUUUAGAUAUGCAACACUAUCAAAAUAUUAUGCAUGCGAAUCUCAAUUUUCUCAAAAUUUAAAUUUCGUUCAUAAAUUUAAUUUCUUUCAAAGCAUUAAGUUUAUCACGUUAGUCAUGAACUAUGACCACACAUGCAUCCUAUGACUAUGCUGGAUAACGAGCUCAAAAAAGUCGAAGUGUCAACGUAUAACCUCCACUGAUAAAGUAUCGAUGUGCCAACAUAUAACCCUCACUAGCAGAGUAUCGAUGUGCUAACAUAUAAUCUCUAUUGGCAGAAUAUCAACGUACAAGUAUAUAAACCCCACUGACGGGGUAUCGAUGUACCAGCACAUAACCUCUAUUGGUAGGGUAUCGAUGUACCAGCACUUAACCUCCACUAGCAGAAUAUUCGAGUCCAAAUCCAUCUCAAAUCAAAGCUCUUUUUUAUUCAAAAACAAGUUUCAUGUUCCAAUUUGAGAAAUACACAAAAUUGUACAGUAUUGAAAUCAAUUGAGCAUAAUCCAUAUCGAAAUCAGUAUGUUCAGUUAUGAAUCAUAUACUAUUUCAAAAAUAAGAUAUAUUCAAUAAUAAAGUACUAUGCAUCAAAUUCAUGUAUCACAAGUAAUACGACUCAGAGUUAUUAAGUAUCAAUCUAGAAAGAGUUACAUUACGUACCUUGCAAGUACAACUAGCUGACAAAUUCACAAACUUUGAAAAUCUUCCUCAAAGCCUAAUAUUCAAGAAUUACAUUUUUAUCAAAAUUUAGCCAUGAUUAAUUUUAAAAUAAAAAUCCUAAGUCUCAAUACCCUCACACAAUCAAAUCUAAUAAUUAGAGAAUACUGCAAUAGAUAUGGUGGACAGACGUGAAGAAAGAGUGGAGGAAUGACAAGGCUGGCAACACUAAUUUUAUCUGAUUAAGGUUAGAUUAGGAUGCAGGUGGCUCAGUAGAGAUUGAGGACAAUAAAUCUAGUGGUGUCUAA
rnacentral:lncRNA from 1 species